AUUUUAUGAGAGCAACAGCUUUAUACACUAUAAUAAAGAUAUCAAAUUACAUCUUAUUUUUUAGAUACAAAGAGGAAAAUAUAUGGCUGAAACUUUAAAAUAAAGAUUGUCCAAAAGUUCAAGGAGCUAAUAUUAGGUGUCGUAGUGGCAAAUGCGUACAAGUCUAAUUCUGAGAUGAAUGAGUUAUUUUGCUAGCAUAAGAAUAGUAAAAUAUACUAUAUGCUAGAAUAUUUCACAAGCUGUCAUUUAGUUUUUCUGUAUGCACUAGAAAACUGUAUUUUUUUUAUUUUUUUUUCUGUAAAAUAAGGAAGGAUGUCUAGGCUGGAGAGUCUUUGAGCAUGGAAGACAACUAUUUUCCACUUUUAUUUCAGUUAAAUUAUUAUCUAUUUUUUAUUAAUAAUUUCGGCACUCUUUUCUCCUAACAGGAGUUUUUAACAAAUCCUACUCCAUUUAUUUUAA